rnacentral:ncRNA from 1 species
UCAGGGGAAAGAUUUGAAUGCUUGCAACCCCGAGUAAAAAAAUGCUAAAAAU